AUGAACUUUCAAGAUGUGUACACGCUCCAGCAAGCGCUCAACCUCGCCUCUCUGCCUCGUCUGAACACGGCGGAAGACCGUGCGGAGCACGCCGAGCGGCAACGCCGCCUCCUUGUCGCCCAGGAGGACGAGCGGGUCAUGGCGGAGUGGCGCCAGCGCCACUCGGAGGACGUCGCCUACGAGCAGGCCUACUGGGCAAGGCGCCGCGAGGAGGACACGCGAAGGCGCCGCGAGACGCGGUUGGAAAGGCGUCAGCGGAAGGCGUUGGCUAAUGCGCAGUCCGACAUUGUUGCAGCAGGUGGGCAGUCGUUCUUCGCGCCGAACGAUGAUCGGUGGCUGGACAUCUGGCUAGACACCUCGGACGACACCGCCGAGGAUGAUAAUGGUGAUGAUGAUAGCGACUUAGAGUAG
rnacentral:rRNA from 1 species